AUCCAGCUGACGAGUCCAAUACAAGACAAAAUGCACUUCGUGGAU
rfam:Schistosoma curassoni strain Dakar, Senegal genome assembly, scaffold: SCTD_scaffold0000473